rnacentral:lncRNA from 1 species
CCAGAGGGUUUGAACACAUGCCGUUGUUGUUGCUGCUGUCGAGGAACUCGAUGAUGUCGUUGAGAGAUUGGAGCCUGUGGUUAAGCUCAUCGAGCUGAGCUCUGAGAACAGAGUUCUCUGCUUCAACGGUCAGGUAGUGCUGCGUUGUGAUGCUGACACUUGUCACGAUGUCGCUGUUCUCUUUUUUCAGAUGGUUAACCUGAGCCGUCAGAUCGUCGAGGAGCUUCUGUUUCUUCAUCCUAGAUCUCCUAGCAGAUUCACGGUUUGAGAGCAUCCGCUUACGUUUCCUCUGCUCCAUGAGACUCUCCUCUGACCCUGAUGACGAUUGAAUCGUCGACGAAGUUGUUCCUGACGACGACGAUUCCAUCAAGUAACACACACACAGAAAACAAAACAAAACAAAGAAGCCUUAUAUCUUGCGAGAAGAGAGAUCAGAUAUUAAAAAUGGGUUUUUUUUUAGGGAAACCAAAAACAGAACAGAACAGAGCAGGACAGGACAGGACCCAGAGGACGAAAAACGAAGAAGAAAGAUUAGAUGGAAACAAGGGUUUUUGUGUGUUUAAGUUAUGCGUAUAGAUUCUAAAAUAUUAAUUAUGAGUUUUCAGGGAAUCAUGAGACGUAGUAAAGCCAGUAAAGGAAGACAACAGAGAAAGAUUGAACAAGAUGGGUCCUGCGCCUGAUUGUGGAAUUUAACAUAAACCCAGAGAGAAAGAUCUCACUGAGUAUAAUCGGAGACAUGUGUCUCAAACACCAACAACUGCUGAUUAAGCAUCAAUGGUUUUUUUCCUUCUUUUUUUUUUUCUAAUUAUUUCUAGCAGAAGAUGAGAUCUUUAACGAUGAAUCUUUGAAGAAAACAGAAGAAGAAGAAAGGAAGAAAGUAGAAGACGAUAUCUUCGAGAGAGAGAGAGGAGGAGAAGGAGGAGAGAAGAGGGGGCUUUGAAAUGGUUAAGGAGUA